AACGAACGCUGGCGGCAUGCCUAACACAUGCAAGUCGAACGAGACCUUCGGGUCUAGUGGCUCACGGGUGCGUAAUGCGUGGGAACCUGCCCUUAGGUUCGGAAUAACUCCCCGAAAGGGGUGCUAAUACCGGAUAAUGUCUUCGGACCAAAGAUUUAUCGCCUUUGGAUGGGCCCGCGUUGGAUUAGCUAGUUGGUAGGGUAAAAGCCUACCAAGGCGACGAUCCAUAGCUGGUCUGAGAGGAUGAUCAGCCACACUGGGACUGAGACACGGCCCAGACUCCUACGGGAGGCAGCAGUGGGGAAUAUUGGACAAUGGGCGAAAGCCUGAUCCAGCAAUGCCGCGUGAGUGAUGAAGGCCUUAGGGUUGUAAAGCUCUUUUACCCGGGAUGAUAAUGACAGUACCGGGAGAAUAAGCUCCGGCUAACUCCGUG
rnacentral:rRNA from 1 species